AACUUUUUUUAUUGUAAACAUGUUUUUCAAUAACUUUAACAAGGGUUUAUGGUUUGGUCACAGAUGGUCUUUAUUAAACUGUUUGUCCAUCUUAAUGUCAGGAUGAAGGUCUGAUUAUGAUAUUUAUACAUUUUAAUGCUACGUUGGCGAACAUCCUGCCUGAGGAGAAAAGGCAAGCACAGUGGCAUCCAUGGGCCGUUUUAGUACUGUGGAGGAGGCCCUGGGCGAGAACCAAUAUAAGGCCAGCUGAUGGCAAUCAUAGUGAGUGGAAAAAAUAUUAAGAAGCAUCUUAUCUACAAAGCAAGAGAACUACAGGACAUGUCCAAAUCUGAGCAGCAGGGCAGCUGUAUAAAAAAAAUCAAUAUAUGAUCCAUACAUGGUGUAGUAUCAGUUUUUGUGUCACAGAUCAGGGUUUAUCACCUCUUUGAUUCAGUCUAACCACACAGUAAUCCACUGUCAUCUCUAAAUAGACCUUUAUUGAUAUAAUUAGCACAGUAUAAAGAUAUGGUGGGGGUGUUGGAGGGACUUGGACAUGGCAGGAGGGUCCCAGGAAUCCAUCUAUAGGACUUCUGUGUAUAAAUUUUAAUUUGAUGUUAAUUUUACUCAUUUUUUGGCACUUUAUCUAAAAGAGGUGAAAUUGCAUUAAAAUGUGUCUUUUAAAGUGAGUUUUAUGCAAUAUUAGGGACAUCAACCUAAGUAGUUUAACCUUUAGGUAUGCAUCAAACAGUAUUACAGUGAUGAAGAUGUGUGUCUAUAAUGUAAAUGCUUUUUAAAAAUUGAUUUGACCAUUUUUUUAAAGUCUUCGUUCAUCCUGAUGUUUUACUGUUACAGUCGUUUAUUGCUUUCAUUGAUUUACCUCAUUAUACAGCUUUAAAUCAUCCAUUUCCAUCGUCCACUUACAUCCAACUGUGAUUGGAUGCCAUGUCUACAUAUAAUUUUCUCAUCACAUUGAUUACUUUUUAUUUGAAUCCCCUUCAUCAUUGCUUUAAGCUUGAUCUGCUAAUUACGACCUGCCACUUGGGUCAUUUUUAUUAAAUUACUUGCAGUUAUAUCCCAGUCUUGCUUCAAUUUUCUUUGUUGUCCAAGCACUUUUGUUUUAAAAGGUUCUAAAGAAAUCAAGUUAUUAUUAUUAUCACUAUUAAUUUAUAAACAGAGAUGCUGAUCAGCACAAUCUCAGAACUAUGGUACCGCUAGGGCUGACCCCAAACAGUAAAAUAUUCAACAACGGGUUGAAAAGAGCCUCAUUAGUCAAAUAGCUACUGAAACAAGGAUGGUUCCAUUCCAGCUUCAUGGGGAUGUUAAACAUCCAGCUCUGCAUUGAUUUUCCUGGUUUCUCCAACUAAAUCAUGACCUCUGGCCACCUCAGUAUACAUGCACAGUCACUUUAUUAGGUACACCUGAUCAGCUGCUCAUUCAUGCAAAUAUCUAACCAGCUGAGCACAUGGCAUCAGCCAACACAAUUAGACAUGUAGCUAUGGUGAAGGCGAUGUACUGAAGGUCAAAGUGAGCAUCAAAAUAGGGAAAAAAAAGUGAUGAUUGUGCCAUGGUUGUUGGCAGUCUGGCACAUCUUCAUGUUGUUUACUCCAAAUCCUGACCCUUGUUUCCAGUCUUCUAUUGUCCAGUUUUUGGUGAACAUGUGUGUUUUGUAGCCUCCCACUGUGGUCUUCUGCUGCUGAAGCACAUCUGCUUCACAGUUUGAAGUGUUCUGCAUUCAGAGAUGCACGCUGCACACCUCAGUCAUAACAAGUGGUUAUUUUUGAAUUAUUAUUUCCUUACUAUCAGCACCAACCAGUCUGUUCAUUCUCCUCUGACCCCUGCCAUCAACCAGGCAUUUUGGACUAGAGAACUGCUGCUCACUAGAUUUUUUUCUUACCAUUCUCUUUAAACUGUACAGUUUUAGUAACCUUAAGCACAUCGUCCUCACCAUAUCUACCAUUUUAGAUGCAUCUGUCACUGCCAUGUGAUUAGCUGAUUAAAUAUUUGUUGUAAUGAGUAGUUGGUAUAGCUAAUGAAGAGGCUGCUGAGUGUAAAGAUAAACUUAUUGACAUUCAACACAAAUCUAAAAAUAACUUCUAUGCUUUCAAUCAAUCUCCAUCGCAACAUAACUCAUGAUGUCUCCCUGCAGUUAUUUUUGGUGUUAUUUAUCGGUAGUUCUGUGUUGCUGUCUUUAUAUUAUCUAAAUGCCAAUAUGCAUUUUAUUCUGUGUCUCUCUGAAUCUACCUCAGGAGACCAGGACCGUCACAGAGCAGAUGGAGAACAACAUGGAGAAACAACAGAGCAGGGCGUCUGUGGUUCAGUGAUAGAGUGGGUCAGCUGUCACCCUGAAGGUCAAGGGUUUGAUCCCGUCUCAUGACCGCAUGUUACGUCUCCCUGCAGCCAAACUCUCGGGUUUCCUGAUAAGUGGAGGACAGGCAGGGUGCAUUAUGGGUCUUCUCCUUGACCCUGUUCUCCCUGUGGCCCCACCCUCCCCAUGGCUCCUGGUGCAGUGCUGCAUCUCUGGUCAGUUGGUAGUCUGAGAUGAAGCACUGUAGCUCGGGACGCGGGGCCAAUAACUCCAUCGAGUGAACGACAGCACAUCCCAGUGUGUUCCUAAGAUGGGAUACAACAAGGAAAUGCUUUCCACAUAUUCAUGUCUCUCUUCAUUCUAAUUAGGGACUCAACACUGACCUCAGAGCAAGGACCCUAUUGAAAUUGCUUUAACCAUUAUUUUAUUAUUUUUUAGGCCUUUUGUAACUUGUUAUAUAACAUUAUUUAUAGAAAGAAGUGUCUAUUCAUUAAUAUGUAUAAUAAAAUUCAUGUUUGAUAUGCUGUGAGGAAAGUUUGAUUCAGAUUCAGAUAUGUAUCCUUUAGAACUUUUAAUGUUCACAUUGGUAAAGUUUGAAUUGAUCAGGGCAGAUAAAAAAAAACAGACACACAUGAAAGUAUUUAUGAAUGAACACAGAAAGAUCAGCUGACAGUGAUGAUGAGAUGAUCAAGAUGAUGAAGAUGUUGGUGAUGGUUUCUCCUCUCUCCUAGGGUCCAGUUUUCCCAGGAAUCCCUUGACCAAUUGGAAACGGGGAUUCCUGGAAAUACUGUUCUUGGGGGCGGGGCUUAUCAGCAGUGCAGUGCAAAUCCAUUCAUAGCUUUCACAUUACACUAUACACUCAUGAACAGCCCCCCUUAGCAUGAAAAGCUUUUUGAUGCUGUAGAACACAGACUAUUGUGGUUUUUAAAUUUGUUUGUUUGUUUGUUUGUUUUAAUAAAAUAAAGUUGUUAUUUAACUGGAUGUACUAACUGAUGAGGAGACAAGCCUGAGUUUCAGUUCAACAGAACCCCCAUCAGAGGAGCAGAAAGCACUUUAAUGUUGUUAGACACCCCACUAUCUAAAGUUACAAUAGAGUGAUCAUCCCGUACUUUCAUAAUUGGUUACUAGGGAGUAUCUCAGCAUGUGUUUUAGAUAUCCUGCUUACAUAUGAUCCCUCUGCAACAAUCCUAACAAUUACGAUUGUGCCACCAUCUGAGGAAAUAACCAUUAAACUGAUUUUUUUUCAAUAACAAUGUUUUCUGAGACCAGAAAUGCCAGAUUUGAUACAUUUAAAUUGUACGUAUUUUAAAGUAAUUGUUAUUUUUGAAGAUUUUUUUUCCAAAUUUAACCAAAAGUUAUAAAAAUUUACAAAUGUAAGCCCUUUUAAAAACAUUUUAAAACAAAUUUUUGUUCACCUAUAAGAAAAAAAGAUUUCAGAAAUACAAACUAUGAGCUACAAAUCACCAACCUUGCAAAGCAGAUGGAUACGCCCGUUUCUGUGUUUCUCACUGGUGAAUCCAUCUUGGAAAGCUCCCGUCUGAACCGUUUGGGCCCGGUUAAAAAGGGACAGGACCAAUCAGUGUUGAGGGGCAGUACUUUUGGACGCAGAGGAGUCGUGACGUAAGCAAACAAGCCCUUUCCCAAACGCUGUCUAUGAGUGGUUUUUCAGAUGGAUGUGUGAAACACAGGUUAACAAAUCACAUAUCUGAUGAAAGAAGGACCUUUUUUGUUACGUGUUAAAUAUGUGUUACAAAAUUGUGUCUUACUAAAAAAAACACACAAUUUCAUAUAACUUUUUUGUAUUUUUAAUCACAUUUUACAAUUUUAGUAGUAGAGACAAGGCAUGUGCCCACCGGAAACAAUAGUUGCCACUCUUUCAAAUAAGGUUUUCUAGACAUGACGGAACGAAAUGAACCUGACAUGAACUAGCUGUUAAGUAAUUAGCACUCACCAUGUUCUUCUGAUGAAGAGUUUCUUGCCCUUUACUUCCUAAACAGCAGCACUAUUGACCCAAACACAUCAUGGCACUUUCAACAUGGUGUUACAAGAAGGAUUAAACAUGUCUGUAAACAUCACUGACAUGAAGUUCACAAGUGUUCAAAAUGUAAAUUUGAAAUAUUUUGUUGUCAUGAUGUAAACGUGUCAUUUAGCGAUGGAUGUCACCUUAGACUUUGUCCCCAUCGCAUCACAUGAUUAAGAAUAAUAGAUAAAGUUAUUGUACUGUGAUGAUGAAAAACAACAAUAAUUGAUUUUGAACGAAAUAGCUAAUAACAGUUAAGUAUCAUGAACUUUGAAUUUGAAGCUAAUGGUCGGUAUUGUGCUGUUAAGGUGUGCAGUAUUAUUGAGUUUGAUUAUUGUUUAACUUUUGUGUGCUUUUUAUCGUUUGUUUCACACACAGAAUGUGUAAAAUAACUCGAGAUUGAAUAAAUAUUGAAGGAAA